rnacentral:tRNA from 3 species
GGGCUUGUAGCUCAGUCAGGUAGAGCGCCGGGCUUUUAACCCGGUUCGCGCGGGUUCGAACCCCGUCAAGCCCGCCA